UCUCGGCUGAGACAACGCACCAGACGACCGUCGCCUGCCACGCGUGGGGCACAGUAUGGGGAGGCGCUGUUGCUGUCGGCGGCGCUUGCCGGUGGUGGCAAGUCUGGGCGCUGCGCUCCUGUUCCUGUGCGCGCUCCUCCUUCUGCGUCCCGGAUUUAAAAACAAAGCCCUGGGCUCCAGCUGGUUUGGAGGAGUGAGGAAGAGUCCCCUACAACUGUUGCACGACCUGGACCAGGGUCAGCGUUCUGUGAUGGCCGAGGUGCACCAGCAGCGGCGCCAGCUGCUACACCGCGCCUGCAGCCGCCACACACGACGCCAGCGCCUGCUGCAGCCGGAGGACCUGAGGCACGUGCUGGUGGACGACGCGCACGGGCUGCUGUACUGCUAUGUGCCCAAGGUGGCCUGCACCAACUGGAAGCGCGUGCUGCUGGCGCUGCGUGGCCGUGGGGACCCUGGCUCCAUCCCUGCGCACGAGGCGCAUGCGCCUGGCCUGCUGCCCUCGCUGGCCGACUUUGCGCCGGCCGAGGUCAACAGAAGGCUUCGCGACUACCUGGCCUUUCUCUUCGUGCGCGAGCCCUUCGAACGCCUGGCUUCGGCCUACCGCAACAAGCUGGCGCGGCCACACAGCGCCGCCUUCCAGCAGCGCUAUGGCACACGCAUCGUGCGCCGCCUACGACCACACGCACAGCCCGAUGCGCUGGCCCGCGGCCACGACGUGCGCUUUGCAGAGUUCCUGGCCUACCUGCUUGACCCGCGCACGCGCCGCCAGGAGCCCUUCAACGAACACUGGGAGCGCGCGCACGCGCUGUGCCACCCGUGCCUAGUGCGCUAUGACGUGGUGGGCAAGUUUGAGACGUUGGCUGAUGACGCGGCCUUUGUGCUGGACCUGGUGGGCGAGCCCGGCCUGCGCUUUCCUGCUCCGCCACGGAGGCCUGAGAAGGACCCUACGCGUGACCAGGCCCGGCGCCUCUUCCAGGACAUCAGUCCCUUCUAUCAGCGCCGCCUCUUUGACCUCUAUAAGAUGGACUUUCUGCUCUUUAACUAUUCCGCCCCCUCCUACCUGCGGCUGCAGUAGGGAUGCUGGGUGUUGAGAGGGCCUGUGACUGAGCCACCAGGAGGUCUGGAAUGAGCCCGUAGUGUGGAUUGGAGAGCCAUUCACAUUCCAUAUUCAGUGGGCCUGCCAAGAUCCUGGACACAGGCCACUGGAUUGGGCACAACUCAGGAACUUGCCUGAUGCCUUCAGAGCAGCCUGCCGGUGAGCAGCCACAGGCCUGCGCAGGACUCUCGCUUCUAUGGAUCUUGGAAGGAACCGCCACCGCUGCUGCUGGCUGUAUGAAUCCUGACCCCAAGACUGCUCUUCUCCCCACUGGAGGAUUGUGGAGAGCCCGGAGCCUGACGAUGAGACCCUGUGGAUUGUUUUUAUUCCGAUAUGGUAUGAUGGACCACACCCUGCUGAAGGGUUGCUGUGAACACCUUCAAAAAAUUACUUCACUCGACUGCUGACUGAGAUGAACCUAGCACACAGGUUAUACCCUGAAAUACCUGAUUAACAGUGCCCCCCCAUACAGCAGGAAGCAGUUUGGAGAGAAAUAACUGCACCCAUGUUCUCAUAUAUUGUUUAUAAAUGUUCUUUUACAUCAUAUGAUAUAGGUAUGAAUAAUUUACAUUGAUAUGGAUUUUGCUUUAGUGAUUUAAAUUUAAGGUCAAUUUUGUUAUAUGUAUAUGUGUUUCUGAUCUUGAUUAAGGUAUUGUGAUUGUGUAGUUCAUUUAAAAAUGUAAUGUACAUAGGUUGUUAAUAGAUAAUCAUAAUAGCCAAGUUUGUAGUCAUGUUAGUUAGAUUUUCUAGAUGUACAUGAUAUAUUUUAGUUAGGCAUUCUUCAUAUUUUUCAAAGAUUAUAGAAUAUGGCAUUUUAAAUGUUUUAAUAACUUAGGGUUUUUCGUGACAAUGAGACACGUCUUCUCCUGGCAGCACCAAUCUACUUUGAGAGGAAGAUGGGCAUCCUAGAGGCUCCUUACGGAGUUUGAUAGCCAUUUGGGCAAGAAACUGCUCUUGCCUGGACUAUUGUAUAAACUGGACACAGAAAACCCACAGAGAGAGGACAACUGAACUUGCCUAAAGGUGAGAUGAUCUUUCGGGGUUCCUGAUUCAUGAAGGAGUCUGCAAGACAUUCUGCAGGACACAACAGAUAGUAACUGAACUGACUUUGAAUUUUCCUGCUUCCUGGAAAUGUCUGCUGGAUACCAUGGGCCUCAAGGCUGAAGAUGGAUGCCCCAACAGUACAGAGGAACUUUGGGUGAUUGUCCAGGCAGCGAGAUGUCUCUGUCAUUUCUCGAGUUUGAAAGUUGCUUAUUUCUUGUUUGCUUAGAUAAUAUUGUAUCUUUCUGGAGUCUUUGGUGGAGUUGAAGAAUAGUUAGUUAUAGUUAUAGUUUUCCUUAGUUAUGAUAAAGAUAAAAUAGAUGUAAAUACUGUAAUUUUUACUUGAUAACUGUUUUGUUAUAUGUAAUUUUGCUAUGUUAAAGUUAAAGCCUUCCUUUUUUUGUUUAAACAGAAAAAGGGGAAAUGAUGGAGGAAGGUCAUUGGUUAAAAAAUAAAGAAACAGCUUGGCCCUCAUAGGUUAAAACAUAGGCGGGAGGAGUAAACAGAACAGAAGAAGAAGUGAGCUCAGAGGCCAUGCUCCCCUCUCCCGGGCAGACGCGAUGAAACUCCGACCCAGGAUGGACAUGGGCUAGAAUCUUCCCAGUAAGUGCACCUAGGGGUGCUACACACAUUAUUAGAAAUGGGCUAGGCCAGGUAUGAGAGUUAGCCGAGAAGAGGCUAGAUAUAAUGGGCCAAGCAGUGUUUAAAAUAAUACAAUUUGUGUGUUGUUAUUUCGGGUA